AAGUCGUAACAAGGUCUUCGUAGGUGAACCUGCGGAGGGAUCAUUACACAAUAUGCAAGCGGGCCUGGGAUCCCUGGGAGGGCGUCUAUUCUGCCGUUUCCGCCGCAUCUGCGGUGCUGAAGCGACAGGGCGGGCGUCUUUUCCGGCCAGCCUGACUCCAUAUUCACCCAUGUCUUUUCGCGUACUACUUGUUUCCUUGGUGGGUUCGCCAACCAACAGGACCAUCAACUUUUGCAAUUGCAAUCAGCGUCAGCAAAAUCAAUGUAAUAAAUUACAA
rnacentral:misc_RNA from 1 species